AGCAGAUGACCCCUAUUGAUUUUCAGGUCACUUGGUCAAAGGUCAAGGUCACAGUGAUUCUAAACAGUAAAAUGGUUUACGGAUGAUAACUCAAGAAUGCUUACGCCUAGUUUUGUUUUGUUUUUCUCUUUUGUAUCCUUUAUAUGUAAAAUGAAACAGGGUUUUGCUCAAAAGAAGCCCUUUUGUAUUUAUUGUUUUAUAUCCAACUUUCCCAUAAAACAAUUGAAAUUAGCUUUUAAUCAAUUGCAGAGUAAGUAUUGUAAGAAUUAUUGUAGUAAUUGUUACAAUAUAAUAACAGUGUUUUCGAGUACUAAUGUAGGUCUGUGUUAGGUUAUUAUUUAUGCCCCCCUUCGAAGAAGAGGGGGUAUAUUGUUUUGCACAUGUCGGUCUGUCUGUCUGUAUGUAUGUCCGUCCAUCAGAUGGUUUCCGGAUGAUAACUCAAGAACGCAUACGCCUGGGAUCAUGAAACUUCAUAGGUAGAUUGAUCAUGACUCGCACAUGACCCCUAUUGAUUUUGAGGUCACUAGGUCAAUGUCACGGUGACCCGAAAUUAUAAUAAAAUGGUUUCGGAAUGAUUACUCAAGAACGCAUACGCCUAGGAUCAUGAAACCUCAUCGUUAGAUAGAUAAUGACUCGCAGAUGACCCCUAUUGAUUUUGAGGUCACUAGGUCAAAGGUCACGGUGACCCAAAAUAGUAAAAUGGUUUUCGGAUGAUACUCAAGAACGCUUACGCCUAGGUUCAUGAAACUUCAUAGGUACAUUGAUCAUGACUCGCAGAUGACUCAUAUUGAUUUUCAGGUCAAAGGUCAAGGUCACGGUGACCCGAAACAGUAAAAUUGAUUCUGGAUGAUAACUCAAGCACGCUUUUGCCUAGGAUCAUGACACUUCAUAGGUACAUUGAUCAUGACUCGCAGAUGACCCCUAUUGAUUUUCAGGUCAAUAGGUCAAAGGUCAAGGUCACAGUGACAAAAAACGUAUUCACACAAUGGCUGCCACUGCAACAGAUAGCCCAUAUGGGGGGCAUGCAUGUUUUUCAAACAGCCCUUGUUACAAUCAAAUUCUAUGUAACGUUCAUUUCUCAUGUUAUACCCAUAAUCUAUCAGUCAUCAUUCAUAUUCUGUUAUGCCAUUUGUGCAUCUAGGUUUUGAGUGUUAAACUUAUGUAACAGUAUCACAUUUCAUUAUCACAUCACAUAACAUCUGUUGUGCACUCAAACAUUGUAAUGCAAAACAUACGUUUAGACAUAGUGUUUGAAGUGACUCGUCUUGUUUUUUUUUUGGUAGAUAUGUCUUGGAUUUGAAUCAGAGGGGUUAUAACGUACAUUGUAUUACGCAAAGUUUUAUGCCCCGAACUUUUAAUAAAAAAUUCUAAAGAGCUUUGUGAAUGCCUGCCUAGAGUCAAGACUUGUGAUGAAAGAGAAAAAUUUUUGUUGGACAAUUCUGAUAUCCUGCCUACUUUCAGUGGCCAUUGCACACUGCCUCUGGUGUUCGUAUGCUAUCAUAAGUCUUCUGUCAACGCUUUCCCACUUAGAAGCUAAGUAAAAAUGGCUAUGUGCAAACAGCAUAAAACCAAACCAGCCUGCUAGUAACUUGCAGACUGUUCAGGUUUUAUGCUGUUUUCAGCUCAUGAGGGUCGGAACUGAAACCUUUUAAACUUGGAUCUAGUAAAAAGGCCAUCAAUUAAAUUUAACUUUCUAAGGGACUACAAAUGCCUUAAAAUACGUAAAAGUGGUAAGGGCUAACAUUGUAUUAAAAUCUUAGUUAUUUCGAAAUGUGAUGUUGUUUUUUUCAUAUAUGAACUUGUGUACAUAAUUCUGCUGAAUACUCUAAAACACAGUUCAAUUUAGGCGGGCAUUACAAAAUGGUGAACAAUUUCUUAACUCAAUACUUAUACACGUUUACGUGUACAACUUGAACUGGCGUAAGAUCACUGCUUUUGUAUCAUAAAGUAAUUGAUUAACAUACUUAAAACAUGUAAUUAAGUUACAAUUGUUUUGUAACUUGGAUGAUCAUUAAAAUAAUGCGCUAUAAUUAAAAUAAAAUGUAGAUGUGAUUAAUGUACAAUUAAUUAUUAGUUAUAAAAAAUAAUUAAUUCAUAAUAUUAAUGUUAUGUUUUUAUUGAAUGUAAUAAUUAAACUGUUUAUUGAUAUCAUAAUGUUUAUUAUAGGGCAGCAAUACAUUGCCAAAUAUUUUUGAUAUAUAUUCAUUGAUGAGCGCAUUAUUUUUAGACAAAAAAAAACACAUAUAUUUCAAUGUUAUUUUUUUACGUUUCACCAAAAGGCCAAAAUAAGCCAGGCUCCAUGUUUUGAUAUAAUGUUGACUUCAGCCUUUCACACUCGGAGGCAAAGCUAAAAUGGCUAUGUGCAAACAGCAUAAACCCAGAACAGCCUGCGAGUAACUUGCAGUCUGUUCAGGUUUAAUUCUGUUUGCUGCUCAUCAGUAUUUAAGGGUUGAAAUUGACGCCUUUCAAACUGUACUCGCAAGCUGUUCUUGGUUUAUGCUGUUUGCACCAGCCUUCUGAGAAAACAAAUAUGUCUCGAAGAGACUUUCAACAGAGAAUUUUGGAAGUUGCAACUAUGUUUGAGAUUGGAUUAUCUUUUGGGUGAGGAUAGGUGAAAAAUGUAUCAAAUUUAAAGUGACUUUAAAUUUACAGAUUCUUGUUCUGACGCAUUUAAAAAAACAACUUUGAGGUUUGAUAACUAUACAUCAGAACACUUUCUUGUAGUGUAUUUGUCAAUUAACAAAUAUAAAUAUAACAUUUCUCAAGUUCCUAUUGUACACUGUGUUAAAUAAAUUAUGACAGGGUAGUUGAUGAAAUAACUCAAUCUUCUGACAAUGCCCUUGAGACGACCACAUGUAUAAUAUAUACAUGUAUACUCAUGUAUAAUAAUCUGUGGAUGUAAAUAUAAGAAUUGUUUAAUAUAGACCUAUAUGUUUUAAACAUAGUUUCACUGUUCAAACGUGUCUAUCAGGUCUGAUCAUUUUCUGUAUCUUGUACUUACAGAGGGAGUAAUCACUUGAAAAACAAGAUGGCCACUUCCAUGCCAAUACAUUUAUUUUUCGCUGUUUUAUACCUUUUAUUGCUUGUAUUAAUUGUUAAAAUGCCGCUGUAUUUCCAGGCAAAUCGGCAAGAAAGUGAUAAGCGUUUAUAUCAUAUUAAUAUUUGCUCUAUAUCUUGACUAUAUUCUGCAUUUUUUUUAGCUGGUCACAAAAUUACAGCUCAGGCUAAGAAAAUUAGAAAAACACCUGCUCGGCAUGGUCCUUGCCAUCUUGUUUGUCAGGUGAUUACCCCUCUGAAAAUGAAGCAGACAUUAUUUCAAACAUUAUGUAUCAUACUUUAUUUUUUCAUUUUGUAAGUUUAAAACUUAAAAACAAUUUUCCACUGGUACCAAAGACUAUUAAUUUUAUGUGUUCAUUUAGCAAGAACAUAUGUAUUACUGAUGUUGUUUUCAUUUUGUUUGUGAUAUUCAUCAUUUCAUUCCCCAACAAAGUUUGAAGAAUCACAUGUAUAUACUGGCAGUUUGUUCUACAACUUUUUUUAAAAUGUGGCAGGCCAAUAAGAUAAAAAAUGUAAAGGGAAUUUUAUAUCAAAUUAUUCCAAAAACAUCACUGUCUGAAGUCAUCAAGUGGUUGGUUGGGUUUUCUAGGUCUGUUUGAAUUUCUUGUCUGUUUAACUACUUUAAAUGUUACUGGACACCAUUUUCAUAAGGAGUAGUAGUGGACAAUUUUGUUUCCCCACAGGUGGCCAUUUUGUCCAUUGAACUUUAUAUGCCCCAUUUCGAAGAAAAGGGGGCAUAUAGUGAUCGGACUGUCUGUCUGUCCGUCACACUUUGCGUUUAGGUUUCCAAAAAUGCUCAUAACUUCUAUGUCCCUUGAGAUAUAACCUUCAUAUUUGGUAUGCAUGUGUAUAUGGACAAGGUCUUCCAUAUGCACACAAAAUUUUACCCCUAUGUCACAGGCUGUGACCUUGACCUUGAACUAAGGGUCCGCGUUUAGGUUUCGAAAUCUGCGUUUAGGUUUCGAAAAAUGCUCAUAACUUCUAUGUCCCUUGAGAUAUAACCUUCAUAUUUGUUAUGCAUGUGUAUAUGGACAAGGCCUUUCCAUACGCACAAAAAUGUUUACCCCUGUGACCUUGACGUUGAAGUUAGGGUCCGCGUUUAGGUUUCGAAAUCUGCGUUUAGGUUUUGAAAAAUGCUCAUAACUUCUAUGUCCCUUGAGAUAUAACCUUCAUAUUUGGUAUGCAUGUGUAUAUGGACAAGGCCUUUCCAUAUGCACACAAAUAUUGACCCCUGUGACCUUGACCUUGAAGUUAGGGUCCGCGUUUAGGUUUCGAAAUCUGCGUUUAGGUUUUGAAAAAGCUCAUUACUUCUGUCAAGCGUUUAUAGGGGUCAUAAGUCAUCCUAUGGUGACAGCUCUUGUUCUUUCUAUUUGCAUAAAAUGUCUUAUGUAAAGGAGCAUUUUUUUUGCUUGAUUAAAUGGUAAAACAUCUACCGAUGUGUCAAAGCAAUAUGGGGAGGUGUGUGUGUGUGGGGGGGAUGUUAGUCUAAAUUUCAUCUGGACAUUAUCAAGUUAAAUUAUGAUUAUGGUGCAACAACCUCAUGGGCAUCUCUUAUGUGAAGCAGGUAUCAAUAUGUUCACACACCUAUUAAGACCACGUCAUAUUUUUGAAAGUGUCUCUGAAGAUGUGAAUUAUCAUGGUAUGUGAUAACAAAUACUGAAAUCUAAUUGGAUGCUUUCCAUUGGUUUAUAGAGAAAUGUCAGUGAAUUAAAAUUGAUAAUUCACUGGUUCAAACAGUGUAAUAAACCAUGAAAAUUUCACUGUUGUUCUGUGAGAUAAUCUUUAAAAAAAAUUUUUUUAUCUGAUUGGCCUGUCACAUGUUGAACUGUGAGAAGACGUGGUUUCAUGACGUUAAGACGUCAUUAUUUUAGCAAAAUACAGAAAUUAUCAUUUUAAAUCAUAAAAUAAGUUGAAAAUUUGUUGAAUUUGGUUGAUGGAAUAUCGAUUUAAAUUCACUAGUCAUCAUAGAAAAAAUAUUUUUUCUAUGAUCACUCGUGAAUUUAAAUCAAAAUUUUAACGAAUCCAACAAAUAUCCUCCAUAUUAACAAUCCAUUACAACUCCUUGCAGUGUAUGUCAUUCUGGUUUUCAUAUCUAGCAGUGUAUUGUGGUCAUCAUUGUUAAAAAAUCAUCCUUGGUGACAAAACUGGCUACGCUUAAAGGUCCCUUUUUUGGUUGUUAGCACAUGCUGCAUAUUACUUCAUGAGCUCAUCGAGAAGUAUUUGUCACUACUAUGACAUGUCAUUUACAAGGUCAUCAUGACGACACAUGUUGAUGGAUCUGUAAAGUCAUCAUGACAUCACAAGUUCACGAGUUGAGUAGGGCAGUUAUUAUGUCAUCAGAUCAAUGUAUUGUAUGGUGUUUAUUAUGACAUGGCCCAAUUAGCGUAGGCGUGGUAUGCUAGCAUGGUGUUAUUACGUCACCAAAUGUGAACAUGGUCUUUCUGUGAUUAUGUUUAAUAACUAUUUGACACAAAUGGAGGCAAAUAUCUCUGUCUAUUAAAGACUUAAUAUGUAUUCAUUUGUGUGUAAUAUUUUCAGCCUAAUCAUGCAAUGACUUUUUCUCCUGCUGUUUGCGUGAUGGUCCAGUCAGAUAUUGACAUGGUCGUAUAUUAUAGCUGCGUUUUGAAAUGUAUAUUAAAGUGUGAAUUGAUUUUGACAUGAAAUUAGACCAAUAAAACAACUGCUAUUUUA